UAACAUAUGCUUGUUAUAAAGAUUAAGCCAUGCAUGUCCAAGUAUAAAAGUAUUCUAUACUUGAAACUGCGAACGGCUCAUUAAAUCAGUUAUAGUUUAUUUGAUGGUACCUUACUACAUGGAUACCUGUGGUAAUUCUAGAGCUAAUACAUGCGUCGAGGCCCGACUCGUGAGGGAAGGGUUGUAUUUAUUAGAUAAAAAACCAAUCCGUAGCAAUACGGUCCCAUUUGGUGAUUCAUAAUAACUGUGCGAAUCGUAUGGCGCAAGCCGACGAUAGU
rnacentral:rRNA from 1 species